UGGGGAAUAUUGCGCAAUGGGGGAAACCCUGACGCAGCAACGCCGCGUGCGGGAUGACGGCCUUCGGGUUGUAAACCGCUUUCAGCAGUGAAGAACAUCGACGGUACCUGCAGAAGAAGCCCCGGCUCACUACGGGCCAGCAGCCGCGGUAAUACGUAGGGGGCGAGCGUUAUCCGGAUUUAUUGGGCGUAAAGCGCGCGUAGGCGGGUGCCUAAGCGGGACCUCUAACCUCGGGGCUCAACCCCGAGCCGGGUCCCGAACUGGGCGCCUCGAGUGCGGUAGGGGAGAUCGGAAUUCCCGGUGUAGCGGUGGAAUGCGCAGAUAUCGGGAAGAACACCGAUGGCGAAGGCAGAUCUCUGGGCCGCCACUGACGCUGAGGCGCGAAAGCUAGGGGAGCGAACAGG
rnacentral:rRNA from 1 species